GGAUAGUGAAUAUUAGCUAGAUAUUUAGCUGAGUAGGUUGAAAGAAGAGUAGAUGAGUUCCAUAGAGCCCUUAUCCUAAACCAUGGAUGAUACGCCCUCUACUUACCAGUCAAAUUAAGAAAUUCCAAGACAUUAUUCCAGUAACACACUCUGUCCGCCAUUAAUUUGCUCCCUUCUUCAUACGGUUUUCAAAGCCCUCUUAUUCUUCUGGAACUCCACAUAAUUUAUAUUGAUAUAUAUAUACAACCUUAUAGUUUUUGGUUCGUUGUCGUCGAUCUGUAUAGCUCAAUCGCACUUCUAGCUGCUAGGUAAGGAAUUAAUUCUAUUUCUAGAGAUCGAGAGAUCAUUAUGCCGGGUUGGGGACCUCCGCCGGGAGGACAUCCGGGGCAUCCAGGGCCGUGCGGUUGCUGUUGUUUCUGUUGCGAUGGCAUAAGCAGGCUCUUAUCUUCAUGUUGCUAUCUACUAUUUUGCUGUUGCAUCUUUGAGAGCUGCUGCGGACCUGCGUUUGGGGGGCCUCCCGGACCUCAUGGCCCUCACGGCGGACCGCAUGGACCUCAUGGCCACCACGGUGGGCCACCUGGACCUCAUGGCCACCACGGCGGACCUCCUCCACCUCCAUAUUGAUUACAGUUUCGUGACUGUAUAUAUAGUGAGGUUUUCUAAGCGUCUGGAUGAUCACUAGAUUGGUGAUGAUAGUGUGUUUUUCGAUCUUGGUGUGUUGAUGAAUCAUGUUCAUUUUCAUGGUGUGUUCUUGUGAAAUUUGCUUGUUGGUACCCACUCCACUUCAUUUUAACUGUUUUCGGCUCCUCAUGGCACAUCAUUGGCUGUGUUUUUCUCCUCGAUCAUCUUUCGUUUGUUUUUAUUACAUAUGCUUGAUUUGCG